UAUUAGAAAGCGAAAUUAUCGCAUUUAGUUUCGACCUAAACUUUGACUACCUAAGUCUCUAAUAG
rnacentral:tRNA from 1 species